CCAAUAGCGUAUAUUAAAGUUGUUGCAGUUAAAAAGCUCGUAGUUGAAUUUCGGGAUCAGUUGGUCGGUCGUACCUCGGUACGUACUGGUCAAAUUGAUUCCUACCUUCUGACGAACCACGAUGUCAUUAAUUUGGUGUCGCGGGGAAUCAGGACUGUUACUUUGAAAAAAUUAGAGUGUUUAAAGCAGGCUCGCGCUUGAAUACAUUAGCAUGGAAUAA
rnacentral:rRNA from 1 species